rnacentral:rRNA from 1 species
CACGUAGGAGGCGAGCGUUGUCCGGAAUCAUUGGGCGUAAAGCGCGUGUAGGCGGCCAGGUAAGUCCGUUCUGAAAGCCCGGGGCUCAACCCCGGGAGGCGGAUGGAUACUGCUUGGCUCGAGUCCGGAAGAGGCGAGUGGAAUUCCCGGUGUAGCGGUGAAAUGCGCAGAUAUCGGGAAGAGCACCCGUGGCGAAGGCGGUCUCUGGGACGGUACUGACGCUGGAGACGCGAAAGCGUGGGGAGCGAACAGG